rnacentral:rRNA from 1 species
GACGAACGCUGGCGGCGUGCUUAACACAUGCAAGUCGAGCGAUGAAGUUCCUUCGGGAACGGAUUAGCGGCGGACGGGUGAGUAACACGUGGGUAACCUGCCUCAUAGAGGGGGAUAGCCUUUCGAAAGGAAGAUUAAUACCCCAUAAGAUUGUAGUACCGCAUGGUAUAGCAAUUAAAGGAGUAAUCCGCUAUGAGAUGGACCCGCGUCGCAUUAGCUAGUUGGUGAGGUAACGGCUCACCAAGGCGACGAUGCGUAGCCGACCUGAGAGGGUGAUCGGCCACAUUGGGACUGAGACACGGCCCAGACUCCUACGGGAGGCAGCAGUGGGGAAUAUUGCACAAUGGGGGAAACCCUGAUGCAGCAACGCCGCGUGAGUGAUGACGGUCUUCGGAUUGUAAAACUCUGUCUUCAGGGACGAUAAUGACGGUACCUGAGGAGGAAGCCACGGCUAACUACGUGCCAGCCGCCGCGGUAA